GAUGAACGCUGGCGGCGUGCCUAAUACAUGCAAGUCGAACGGACAGACCAUGAUCUUGUUCCUCUCACGUUAGCGGCGGGCGGGUGUGUAACGCGUGUAUCCCCUCCUUAUCUUUCUGGGAUAAUUUCGGAACACCGGAUAUAAUCCCGUAUGAUAUAUUGCACCGUGUUGUUCAUUAGUUAGUUACGGUUUUUCUGUCACUUAUAGCUGGUUCCUCGCCGGAUUGGCUGGUUGGUAAGGUACCGGCCUACCACGGCAACGAUGCGUAGCCGACCUGAGGGGGUGAUAGGCCACACUGGAACUGAGACACGGUCCAGACUCCUAAGGGAGGCAGCAGUAGGGAAUCGUAGGCAAUGGGCGAAAGUCUGACGGAGCAACGCCGCGUGAGUGACGAAGGCCCUCGGAUCGUAAAGACCUGUUAUGAGGGAAGAACAGCUGUGGAAGGAAAUAAGGACGUAUUGACGGUAAUUAAUAAGAAAGCAACGGCUAACUACGUG
rnacentral:rRNA from 1 species